rfam:Beta vulgaris subsp. vulgaris chromosome 5, whole genome shotgun sequence.
GAUAGCUUUUUGCGGGGAAACUUGCAAGUAUAGUUUGGGGGGAGGCGAGCAUAGACCCAACCUUAU